AGUAGUUUGACUCCUGGCUCAGAACGACGCUGGCGGCAUGCCUAACACAUGCAAGUCGAACGAAGCCUUCGGGCUUUAGUGGCGCACGGGUGCGUAACACGUGGGAAUCUGCCCUUCGGUUCGGAAUAACAGUUAGAAAUGACUGCUAAUACCGGAUGAUGACGUAAGUCCAAAGAUUUUAUCGCCGAAGGAUGAGCCCGCGUAGGAUUAGGUAGUUGGUAGGGUAAUGGCCUACCAAGCCGACGAUCCUUAGCUGGUCUGAGAGGAUGAUCAGCCACACUGGGACUGAGACACGGCCCAGACUCCUACGGGAGGCAGCAGUGGGGAAUAUUGGACAAUGGGCGAAAGCCUGAUCCAGCAAUGCCGCGUGAGUGAUGAAGGCCUUAGGGUUGUAAAGCUCUUUACCAGGGAUGAUAAUGACAGUACCUGGAGAAUAAGCUCCGGCUAACUCCGUG
rnacentral:rRNA from 1 species